GCUAGUGAAGGCAGAGGGCUGGACUCAAUGACCUUUUGGGGUCCCUUCCAGCUCUAUGAGAUAGGUAUAUCUCCUUAUAUUAUAUUAUUGUGCCUCUAUUUUGGAAAGCCACAACAACUUUUCUACAGAGCCAAAGGAAAAUGAAGGCUGCCAGUUCACUUAACACUGCCUUCACUGGUCCCUGCCACCAAAAAAGGGAAGAGCCCAUCAAACAACUGGGUCUAGCUUACUAUUACAAUCUUUGGGCCAGAAGAUACAUCAUCCUCUUUUUAGCCUGAGUUCCUGCUCAGCCAAGGAAAGAGCCUCUGUCUCCUGCCUGAACCAACAACAAUCACAUUCACAACCACCUUUCCAUCACCUAACCAUCAAAGUGUCUGUUCGUUCCCGCCAAGCAGAAAAGAAAAGGAAACUUCGUCCUCUUUACCUCGUCUCCAAUCCAAUCUUCCAACUUGACUUCAUAUGGACCAGGAAAUCUGCCUGCCCAAGGAAAUAGCUUCAUAUCACAGUUGUGGCUCAUAGUCAUCUACCACCUGACUGUAAAAAGAAGAGCUUCCCUCUCCUUUUCCUUCUCAUGUUUUUUCUUUCAUCUUUGUUUUUUUCUGAGUGGCUGGGGCAAUUAAUUUGACAGAACUAACAGCUUUCUGAGUAAAAUGAGAAUGUUUUGGUUGUAAUCUACUUAAUAUUUCUAUCAUUUAAGAAAAUGAUUAAGAAAAGCAGGUUUGUAACCUGUAAUUUUCCUCCAUGUAUGUCUUAAUAAAAUAGAUAGCUGACACUGUGUGUGUUUAUUAUGGAGUUAACACCAUAGACCAUGAAAGAGAGAGAGUUUGGCACUAGCCAUAGAGUUUUUGAAGCAAUAAUUUUUAAAUCAUGACAGGCCAAUGUACAUUCCACCCAAUCAGUCAAAUUCCAUCUUUGCCUGAACCGGAUAUAAGAGGAGAAUAUUGAGAAAGUGUAAGAUUCUGCUCAACAUUCCUGGUCAAUAUUUCCUUUGCCUCUCCUAAUGCAUCUCAUCUGUCUCUCUCUUUUACCUUUUAAGGACUGUAUCUUGUGCAGUACUGAGCAUAUCACUGCUCAUUAACAAAUAAUUAAUAAAAAUUAUAUGGAUACUAACAGCAGUUAGAAAUGCCACAAGAGGCGAAAAGUUAGCUUUAACAUUUGAAUACAAGGGGCUUCAAAUCCUUAAUAUAUUUCUUCUUUAAAUAUUUUCCACCAUAUAAACAUAACUAUGAGAAAUAUUUACUUUUUUUGUAUUAAA